rnacentral:rRNA from 1 species
AUACGUAGGGGCCAAACGUUGUCCGGAUUUAUUGGGCGUAAAGGGCUCGUAGGCGGUUUAACAAGUCGGUCGUGAAAGCCCGGGGCUCAACCCCGGGACGCCGGUCGAAACUGUUAUGACUAGGGUCCGGUAGAGGUGAGUGGAAUUCUCGGUGUAGCGGUGGAAUGCGCAGAUAUCGAGAGGAACACCAGUAGCGAAGGCGGCUCACUGGGCCGGUACCGACGCUGAGGAGCGAAAGCAUGGGAGCAAACAGGAUUAGAAACCCCAGUAGUCC